GUUCGCCGCCCGUGACUCGGCGAGAAGUUCAUUGAACCUUAUCAUUUAGAGGAAGGAGAAGUCGUAACAAGGUUUCCGUAGGUGAACCUGCGGAAGGAUCAUUG
rnacentral:rRNA from 1 species